UGGUGUGUGUUCAUUGGCGUUACGCACUCUGGGCAACGAACCACUGUUGCUUGCCUCGGGCACCCUCUGUGCCUGCAACAGUUUUGGCGUCCCUGGGGGGGCUCGAGGCUAAAAUCAACCUUGCCUGGACCCCUCUUGGUGGCCGACGGAUCGCGGCAAUGACCGACGCCCAGUGCACACCGAUGACUUCACCGGGGGCCUUGGCGGAGACGCGGUGUGAGCAACCCCAGAGGGCACAACGGUGCAACACGCUCGAGUACUGGAGAAGCAGUUGCGGGCGACGGUGAGGAACCGGUCCCUUGGAUAAGGUUAAAAGAAGCCAAGAAGGGAAAAAGGAUAAAGAACAGAAUGAGUUAAUGGGAAAAAAAAUAAUUAGCUAGCAAGCUUGGGCUAUAGAUAAGACAUUGACUCCAUUCAAGGACACUGCUCACAGUUAAGACUUGGCUAACAACCAGGAAAAGGAGGGCUUGAAUUUGCCCACGCAGCUAUAAGGUUUGCAAAACACGGCCAUGCACUAAUGAAAUGUGUUAGGUUUCUUUUCUCACAGGUAAGGAAGUUCUACCGGAAGACCCUAGCAGCCCUGCCACUCUUUGGAACCAGGAAACUGGAUUGAUGUAAAGGUCCACCAACGAAAGACUGCUUUGGCUCCACGCUGAAAAGAUCCUUAUUAAGCCCUGCUGACUACCAACACUGCUGUGAAGUGCCAAAGGCUGACUGCUUGGACCCAUGAUUCUCACUGCAAAAAGACCCCUCCACCUCG